rnacentral:rRNA from 1 species
CCAAUAGCGUAUAUUAAAGUUGUUGCAGUUAAAAAGCUCGUAGUUGAAUUUCGGGAUCAAUAUGUCGGUCGUGCUUAGGUACGUACUGGCAUCAUUGGUUUCUCCUUUCUGAUGAACCAUGAUGCCAUUAAUUUGGUGUUAUGGGGAAUCAGGACUGUUACCUUGAAAAAAUUAGAGUGUUUAAAGCAGGCUCACGCUUGAAUACAUUAGCAUGGAAUAAUGAAAUAGGACGUUUGAUUCUAUUUUGUUGGUUUCUAGGAUCGACGUAAUGAUUAAUAGGGAUAGUUGGGGGCAUUAGUAUUCAAUUGUCAGAGGUGAAAUUCUUGGAUUUAUUGAAGACUAACUACUGCGAAAGCAUUUGCCAAGGAUGUUUUCAUUAAUCAAGAACGAAAGUUAGGGGAUCGAAGACGAUCAGAUACCGUCGUAGUCUUAACCAUAAACUAUGCCGACUAGGGAUCGGAUGAUGUUAAUUUUUUAAUGACUCAUUCGGCGCCUUACG